rnacentral:sRNA from 1 species
AUAUAAUAUUUGGUUACGUCGGGAAUAAAUAAAACAAAUGCCAUAUUAUUAUACCAUUUCCCAAAUUUCUGGUAUAUUAUUAUUAAUUUCCCGUCGAAAUUGUUAUUCAUAUCCAAAUUUAAACGUUUAUUCCAUAUUAACUUUUUUAUUGCAAAGAUUUUGGAAAAAAGGUUUUUGGUGGUUUUAAUAUAAAUGGGGUUGGGUGCAUUUUCGGUUAAAAAAUUAAUUAACACCCAAAUGUAAUGUUUUUCAAUUACGGUUUUAAUAAAUAAAGAUUAUUUAGGCCAUUUUUUCGCCGUACGGAAUAUAAUAAUAGCAAAUUCAAUUUGUUUCGGAAAAGUAAAAUAUAAUAAAUAAUUAUAUAAUUUGCGGAAUUAUAAUAGGAAAAAUGGUUUAAUAAUAGAUGUUGAAAAAAUAUGGUGCGUAUAUAAAUUAUAUAAUUUGUAAAUAAAAUAAACGAUUUAUAAAGUUUUUUGGAUUAAACGUUUUCCGGAUUUAUAUUUAUUAUAAACGUUGUUUUUUAUUUAAUUUAUUUAAACGAACAUAUUCAUUUGGUUGGAUUUAUAUAAUCGAAUAAAUUUCGGUAUAAUACCAGUUUAAUUGUAAAAAAAUAAAAUAAAAAACUGUUAUGCGCGUUACAAAAUUAUAUUUGAAUAAGGAAACGCGUUAAAUUAGAUAAAGAAAUGUUAUAUUUUUGACAAAACGCUGAAACAAAACCGUUGUUAAUAACUUAGUUGUUUUCGGCCCAAUUCAAAUUCAGUGUGGCAGAAUGCUUUGUUAAAGGUUGGAGUGCACGCCUUUGUGGCUGAUUGCGGUGGUUCAAUACGCGAUAUAUAUAACAAAUUAACGGAAUUUUAAUAAGUUUAUUUGGGCGCUAUAUAUUAAAGGUUAUAUACAAAUAAAAAUGGGUGUAUUAUAUGUAAGAUAAUAUAUAUAAUUAAUACACCCUUUCUUACCAUUUAAUCCAGAAAGUAAAAUUAAAAAAAACUAUAUAAAAAAAAGAAUUUCCUUUUUAUAUUCCAACCCAGUUCGAACCCCCUAAAUAAUUAAACUUUUUGUACCGAACCCCCUGGUUAAAUUGACCCCAAAUUAAACAAACCCCCGAACUGAAAAAACCCCCGCAAAUUAUAACAAUUCCCAAAUUCGAGCCUAAAAUUUACAAAUUAUAACCCACGGAAUUAAUUAUUAGGUUAAAUAGUUCAUUUGGUUAUUUGUUCUUAAAAAAUUCCAAGUAAAUAUAAUAUAUAAGGUAUUUCGAAUUGGUAAAUCGCAUAAAAGGCGUAUUAUUUCCAUUUGGACUUAAUUUUGGUUAUUGGGCUGGUAUAAACCGUUUAUUAAUUGUUUUGUUUGGGGUAAAUUCAAAUGAGACGGCUGGUACCAAACUAAUAAAGAUACAAUAAUUGCAAAUAAAGAAAUAGUAAUAGUAAUUAAUUAACAAAUUAAUUUGGUAUUUUAAAAUAUAAUAAUUAAAAUCAAAUUUAUAAAAGUUUUAACCUUAUAAAUUUCAAAAGCAUUUUAUAAAUCGGAAAUAUUAGGGGUUUUGUAAAAUUACUAGCGGGUAUUUGUUCGGAUUCAAAUUGUUUUGCAAUUAUAUUUUUUUCAUAAUUAAUCCCGUACGUAUUAAAAAUUCACUAACGUAUAUAUAAUAUAUUAAGAAUGCGCAAAUUAUAUAUAUUAACUAUAAAACUGAUUUUAUUCCCAAAUAUUAUAAUAUGAUUUCUUACAAAUAAUUUAAUUUUAUAAAAAGGGUUUUAAACCAUUUUAUUUUAUAUAAAACUUCUGUUAAAAUAUUGGUUUUAGUUUUUGGGGUAUUUGAAAUUAUACUAUUAAUUUUUCUAUAUUUUUAUAUUAUAAAACCCCCGUUAAAAUAUAUAAACAUCCGUAAAUAAAAUAUAAAUAAUCCCUAACCCCGGUAAAAUUAUUAUUAUUAAAACCAAAUAUUCUCUUAUUUUUAAAACCCCCAUUUAAAAGGUUAGGUGGGAAAUUAAUCUGAAUUACUCUAUUUUUGUAACAAAUAAUUAAAAAUGCAAUAUUUGCUAAAUAACGAAUUAAUUUUUAAAUUACUGUAUCAUGAAUUGUAAUGGUUUUUAUUAAGAUACAAUAUAAUUAUUAAACCGCAAAAUUAAUAUCCGCGCGUGUUAAUAAUAUUAAAUAUAUUAGGGUAAUAAUAAUACGUUAUAAUAAUUUGGUUUCCAGAGCAUUUACGGGUUUAUUCCCGUUAUAUUUUAAUAUACCCGGUUGUAAAAAAAUAAUAAUAGGUUUGCAAUUAAUUAAUUCGAACGUUGCUAAUGUAUUUUUUAUAUAUUAAUUCUAAUGGAAUUUAAACGUUUAGAAAAAGAAUUGCGAAACCCCUGUUUUUUAAUACGUACUUUUUAUUAAAACGAGUUUUUAAACUUCGAAUAUAUUGUAAUUUAAAAUUUAUUACCAGGUAAUUAUUAAAAAAAUAAUAAUAGAAUAUUCGGAUUUAAUAUCAUAAAAUCCGGCGGGAUUAAAUUUGACGGUCUAAAUGUUUUUGUAAAAAAUAGGUUUUUUGAAUUUUGUUUGCAAUUUUUUAAACCCUGUUUUUAACCGUAUAAUAUUUUCUCCAAUUAUAUAAGUGAAAGGUGCUCGAAUUAUAACUUGUUUAUAUGAAAAUUGUAACUAUAGCAAAAUUGCAAAAUUUAAACCAUUUUUUAAAAAGUUUUAUAAUUUUCACAUAAAUAUUUACGCUGAUAAAAUUAUUAUUUAAAACCGCACCGGUAAAGAUAACUUAUUUUAGUUUCCAAUUUUAUAUACAAAUUAUAACCAAUAAAUUACGCCAAGUAAAUAAUAUGUUAAUAUUAGGAAGAAUUUCAAUAUGAUUUAAAUUUUCAACCUGUGAAAACCCCGAAUAAUAAAUUUAAUUUUAUAUUUUAUAAAUUAAUUGUUUUUAUUUUAACUUUAAUUGAAGUAUCGGACGGUUAAAUACCAUCUUUUGGUUUGCAGGUAUUUUAAUUUUAAGUAUAAAAUAGAAAGUUUUUGCUAUAAUAUUUGGUCGAAUUUAAACGUUAAAAUUACUACCUAUUUAAUAUUUCUGGGGUUUUUUUAAACCUGUUACUAAUAGUUUAAUUUACUGUUUUUAAUGGGUUUUCUUUAUUUUCUGGUCAAAUAAAUGAAAAUAAUAUAUAUAAUUAACAGCCAUUGGAUUUGGUAUUUCAAAUUGCAAAUUAAAUUAUAUAUUUUAUAUUUUAAAUAUCGAAAUUACCGGAAUUUCCAUUAUUACAAAAACUAAAUUAGAUAUUAUUACCGUUAUAAAUUUUAAGGGGGAGAAUAAUAAACUAUAUUAACUUGGCAAACAUUUUAUUAAUAAAAAUUGAACGUUCUCUAACAAGUGGUAAAAGAUAAUUAUUUAUUAGAUUUAAAUUUUCAAAGCUGUAAAUUUCCUGUUAAUUGCCAUUAUAUAUUUAAUUAAAUUAACCACCGUCGGGAAUACGUAAUAUUAUAAGUAUAAUAAUAAAUUUGCCGUUAUAAUAAUAAAUUUAAAUUUACUUUAAAUAAUUGUAACGGACUGUUCCGUUAACCUGUUUUGGUUAUAAUCAUAAAAAUUGGAAAUAUUAAAAUCAAUAUUUUUAUUUGCAAACCAAUUUUAAAAUUUUGUAUUUAUUUUGUACCCCUAUUAAAAUAAAAAUAAAUGGGGUAACGCCCGUAUAUAAUUUUUAAACCCCUAAAAAAAGCUUUUAAUAAUUAUUAAAACCGUAAAUCCGGUUUUAUUCCGUAAUGGGAUUGAUUACCGAAAACGUAAUUUUCGAUCUAUUACUAAUAAAAAUAUAGGUUUUUUUAUUGUAAAAAUUAGGUUUAAAAAUUACUAUAUUA